rnacentral:rRNA from 1 species
AUUGAACGCUGGCGGCAGGCCUAACACAUGCAAGUCGAGCGGAUGACGGGAGCUUGCUCCUUGAUUCAGCGGCGGACGGGUGAGUAAUACCUAGGAAUCUGCCUGAUAGUGGGGGACAACGUUUCGAAAGGAACGCUAAUACCGCAUACGUCCUACGGGAGAAAGCAGGGGACCUUCGGGCCUUGCGCUAUCAGAUUAGCCUAGGUCGGAUUAGCUAGUUGGUGAGGUAAUGGCUCACCAAGGCGACGAUCCGUAACUGGUCUGAGAGGAUGAGCAGUCACACUGGAACAGAGACACGGUCCAGACUUCUACGGGAGGCAGCAGUAGGGAAUAUUGGACAAUGGGCGAAAGCCUGAUCCAGCCAUGCCGCGUGUGUGAAGAAGGUCUUCGGAUUGUAAAGCACUUUAAGUUGGGAGGAAGGGCAGUAAGCUAAUACCUUGCUGUUUUGACGUUACCGACAGAAUAAGCACCGGCUAACUCUGUGCCAGCAGCCGCAGUAAGAC